GACGAACGCUGGCGGCGUGCCUAAUACAUGCAAGUCGAGCGAGACUCUUCGGAGUCUAGCGGCGGACGGGUGAGUAACACGUGGGCAACCUGCCUGUAAGACUGGGAUAACACCGGGAAACCGGUGCUAAUACCGGAUAAUCCUUUUUCUCUUAUGAGGAAAAGCUGAAAGUCGGUUUCGGCUGACACUUACAGAUGGGCCCGCGGCGCAUUAGCUAGUUGGUGAGGUAACGGCUCACCAAGGCGACGAUGCGUAGCCGACCUGAGAGGGUGAUCGGCCACACUGGGACUGAGACACGGCCCAGACUCCUACGGGAGGCAGCAGUAGGGAAUCUUCCACAAUGGACGAAAGUCUGAUGGAGCAACGCCGCGUGAGCGAUGAAGGCCUUCGGGUCGUAAAGCUCUGUUGUUAGGGAAGAACAAGUACCGGAGUAACUGCCGGUACCUUGACGGUACCUAACCAGAAAGCCACGGCUAACUACGUGCCAGCCGCCGCAGUAAGAC
rnacentral:rRNA from 1 species